rnacentral:rRNA from 1 species
GACGAACGCUGGCGGCGUGCCUAAUACAUGCAAGUAGAACGCUGAAGAGAGGAGCUUGCUCUUCUUGGAUGAGUUGCGAACGGGUGAGUAACGCGUAGUUAACCUGCCUUGUAGCGGGGGAUAACUAUUGGAAACGAUAGCUAAUACCGCAUAACAAUGGAUGACACAUGUCAUUUAUUUUAAAGGGGCAAUUGCUCCACUACAAGAUGGACCUGCGUUGUAUUAGCUAGUAGGUGAGGUAAUGGCUCACCUAGGCGACGAUACAUAGCCGACCUGAGAGGGUGAUCGGCCACACUGGGACUGAGACACGGCCCAGACUCCUACGGGAGGCAGCAGUAGGGAAUCUUCGGCAAUGGGGGCAACCCUGACCGAGCAACGACGCGUGAGUGAAGAAGGGUUUCGGAUCGUAAAGCUCUGUUGUAAGUCAAGAACGGGUGUGAGAGUGGAAAGUUCACACUGUGACGGUAGCUUACCAGAAAGGGACGGCUAACUACGUG